GACGAACGCUGGCGGCGUGCCUAAUACAUGCAAGUAGAACGCUGAAGGAGGAGCUUGCUUCUCUGGAUGAGUUGCGAACGGGUGAGUAACGCGUAGGUAACCUGCCUGGUAGCGGGGGAUAACUAUUGGAAACGAUAGCUAAUACCGCAUAAGAGUAGAUGUCGCAUGACAUUUGCUUAAAAGGUGCAAUUGCAUCACUACCAGAUGGACCUGCGUUGUAUUAGCUAGUUGGUGAGGUAACGGCUCACCAAGGCAACGAUACAUAGCCGACCCGAGAGGGUGAUCGGCCACACUGGGACUGAGACACGGCCCAGACUCCUACGGGAGGCAGCAGUAGGGAAUCUUCGGCAAUGGACGGAAGUCUGACCGAGCAACGCCGCGUGAGUGAAGAAGGUUUUCGGAUCGUAAAGCUCUGUUGUAAGAGAAGAACGAGUGUGAGAGUGGAAAGUUCACACUGUGACGGUAUCUUACCAGAAAGGGACGGCUAACUACGUG
rnacentral:rRNA from 1 species